CAGCAGGAGGUGAGGGGAG
rnacentral:miRNA from 1 species